rnacentral:rRNA from 1 species
UACGGGGGGGCAAGCGUUAAUCGGAAUUCCUGGGCGUAAAGCGCACGUAGGUGGGUGAUUAAGUCGAACGUGAAAUCCCCGAGCUCAACUCGGGAACUGCGUCCGAUACUGGCGGGCUUGAAUCCGGGAGGGGGAUGCGGAAUUCCAGGUGUAGCGGUGAAAUGCGUAGAUAUCUGGAGGAACACCGGUGGCGAAGGCGGCAUCCUGGACCGGCAUUGACGCUGAGGCGCGAAAGCUAGGGGAGCAAACAGG